GGGAAAUAAAAGCAGAGAGCAAAGAGUGUCCAUCAUGGGAAAUGCUGCUGAGAGGUCAGGCGAGGAUGACUUUCAAAAAGCCCAUUGGACAAGAGAUUGACCUUAGGCCUCAUCUGUAAAUUGGAAUGAUUGAUGGUAUUUAGGUCAGCAUCGAAAUAUCCAGUAAAUAUUAGCAAUUAUCAUUCAGUGACACGAGUAACUGUUAGAGAACUUUAGGAAAAACACCUAAUUAAUGAAGUACCAAAUUAGGGUAACAUUUAGUCAGAAAGAAAAGGGAGAUUGAGUGUUUAGGAGAAAGUGUUUAAAUGUAAAGGAGAAGUUCUUGGGAGGAAGAGAAAGGAGAUGCAUGUUGGCUUGGCCUUUAAUGGCAAUGGAGAAAAGCAUCACCAAAGGACAGACUUGAGCCAAGGAGCCUGAAGUGUGGAAUUAUGUAGAACGGCAAGGGCUGUGGUCAAGUGAUGAUGGAGAGCAGGCGGAAGAGCUAUGGUGGGAGCCGAGCCCGUACAGAAGGUCACUUUAAUGAGCCUGAAUAUUUGAAAUUAUCUUCUGUAAGUAUAAAGGAGCUACUGGCAGUAGUAAAAGAGUAGAAAGUUUAACCUGAUUGUUGUAGGGAAGGUAAUCUUAAUAAUAGAGAGAAGGAUGGAUGAUAGAGGAGAAAGAUUUAUGUAAGAGCUGUCCACUUUGUGGUUCCUGGUAAAAGAAUUUUACUAUAGAACAACAACAAAAAUACUUGUAGCUAUUUGACCUCAUCCAGUUCACUUACCUCAUUAAGACUCAGUUUCCCAUCAAAAAAAAAAAUGGGGCCACUAAUAUUUAUCUCUGAGGUUCUUUUGAGUGUUACAUUUGAUCUUAAGUAGCUUGUUAUAUAGUAAGUGCUUCAAUUAGUCCCAUUCCCUAUCAUCGCUUUCCUCCCACUCUAUGUUGCUCUCCUAGGAUUCUCAAGACAUGUAAAUUGGUUUCCUAACUCUGUUAUGC
rnacentral:lncRNA from 1 species